UGGGGAAUAUUGGGCAAUGGGCGCAAGCCUGACCCAGCAACGCCGCGUGAAGGAAGAAGGCUUUCGGGUUGUAAACUUCUUUUGUCAGGGACGAAGAACGUGACGGUACCUGAUGAAUAAGCCACGGCUAACUACGUGCCAGCAGCCGCGGUAAUACGUAGGUGGCAAGCGUUGUCCGGAUUUAUUGGGCGUAAAGCGAGCGCAGGCGGAAUGAUAAGUCUGAUGUGAAAGCCCACGGCUCAACCGUGGAACUGCAUCGGAAACUGUCAUUCUUGAGUGCAGAAGAGGAGAGUGGAAUUCCAUGUGUAGCGGUGGAAUGCGUAGAUAUAUGGAAGAACACCAGUGGCGAAGGCGGCUCUCUGGUCUGCAACUGACGCUGAGGCUCGAAAGCAUGGGUAGCGAACAGGAUUAGAUACCC
rnacentral:rRNA from 1 species